GCAGCAAACACUACAUGGGACAACUUAAAAGAUCAGGAAAAUAUCACUGGUGCAGAUAUUAGUAGGAGGAGGAGGAUGGAAGGUACGAACAAAGAAGCAAAUGACCAAGAACUUGGCAGCUGCCAAAGCAGAAGAAAGCUAAGCAAGACGGCAGCUGCCACAACCUUGGGCUUGGAGACGAUCCUGUAGUCCCUCUUCGGCGGGGGUACCUCAUGGGGAGUUCAGAAGACAUCAGGGAAAAUCAGAUGGUCUGUUCCGAUGAGGAUAGGAGGGCCUUUGAUUUUUCAUCCGAAGAUUUGGAAGUGAGCUGUGAUGCAGCACGGGUAGCCCUGCAAAUGGCCUCAAAACCAAAUCAUAUCCACACCAAUCCAUUCUAAUAAGAAAAACUAAGACUCCGGAAAUCAUAUCCAUCUUCCACUAGAUUUGGAGUACAUAUAUCUUCCAGUGUUAGAGAUUCGUGCUACAAUUAUAAUUACAUCCGAGAUAGCACCGCACGUGGGCGCCAGGCAUAUACCUACACACAGCAGCAUGCGCUUGGAGCAGGGGGGCAAUGAUGGGAUAUCCACGUGUCACGAUCCAAAGAGAGAGGAUGGGAAGUUUAACAUAUUCCCAAACUUCAAUCGACGUUUUCUUUUCAACCAUAUAUCAAAUUAAACAUCUGUUUGAACCAUAGUAUCCGUUGGAAUUAAUCCAAUAAAAUGAGAUCCAAUAUGCUAUUUU